GUCAUUUAGCUCGACUUGCAAAAACGUAUUUAAGAUUGCCAUCUAAAAGUAAUUUACUAAGUUUAGGCUUUCAAAAUAUUCUGUUGACAAAGGCUUCGCUUCUUGUGACUGAAUACUGUUCGUAAAGUGACGUUAAUAAUGGCAUCUCACCUUAAACUGCGCAACGUAUUGAAGCAUAACGAGCGCCAUUGCAAAUUAAGAGAAAACAUGAAAAAAGUGACUUGUGGGUCAACUCCCUUUACAUUGCCAGGUGGAAAAAGUACUGAAGUAACGACAUGCUAUUCAAGACAGCUACGAACAAACUACCUUUUGGGGUUUUAUUGCUCGGUGAAGGCGAAUAAAAGACCGCACGCAAGUCUACAGAGACUCCGAUGGCAGCUGACGGCGGGAUAUCACAGGCAGCUAAAAAACUUACUCGCAGUAAAGCGACCUCAUCUGAUUAUUUUGAAUUCCCAUCAGAUGUCAAAUCAACAGAUGAAAAGUCCCGAACAAAACAAGAGGUGUUGAGGACAAUCAAGAGAAUGACAGAAGAGAACAAGGUCAUCCGAGAUAGAUUACUGGCCUUGAGUCAGAUGAGCCAAAGCAGUUGAGGUGGUUCCACAGGUAGAGUUUUUUUGGACAGAAUCCUUUACACAUGACAGAAUCAAAUGAAGUAUUCCAUUCACCAUGAAUGCUACAGCAGUUGCUUGUAUGUUUUAAUUUGCAUUCCACACCCUUAACAUGGUUGUUGUAAAUUGCUAAUAACAUUUCCGGGUUCUUUACACAAGUUCUUCACACAGUUCAGUUCCAUUGAAAUGUCAGGCUUCCAUUCAUGUUCUGAAAGUUCUAAAAAAAUCUAAAACGACUUAUUCGGAGUCAAAUAAACAAUUUUGAAAACCAAACUUUGAA